GGCAAGCAAAUUAAAGGUGCAGUACACCCAAAUUAUUGAAGUGUAAGGUUUAUGCUAGUAGUCUAAUUACACAACAUAAUCGGGCAACAUUUUAACAUAAUGAGCAUAAAACGUAUAAAACAAAAUAAAUAAAAUAAGAAAUACAACAGCUAAAAAUACUAAACCAGUAAUAUUGUGCAACUUUAAAUCUAACUAGAUUACAAUUGUUACUUGGAACCUUUAACUGCUAGGUUUCAAUCGUGCCAGUCAAACAAUAUAAAAACUCCAAAAUCUAGCUGUGGGCCUCAAUCCUAGAUUUGAAACUAUGUAUAGUCUUGUAUAUCACUUACUUUACACAUUCAAUAUGCCAGUUGACCUACUUGAAAGUGUAAUUACCAUAUGCAAAUAAAAGUGACACAGCUCCAUAGCCCUCCUCCACUUGGCAGAUCAGGCACAACCUUGAUCUUAAGACUCUUUAGUAUGUUCUCUGUGUUCAGUCAUACUGUGUCCAUAAGGAUUAUAAGGUGUACACAAGAGUCACCCAUUGAGAACAUAGACAACAUGAGAAUGUGUAUCACAGAAAUUAUUAAAUUAUGGGUGUGAACUGAAAUAAAGGAGAUCACCAGAGGUGAGGGGAGCAAACCUGGAGAAAGCAAAUGAGCUGAAUUGUUAUUUUAAGAGGCUUAGCUCACAGUCAUUCCCCACCUAUUGUCUCCAACUUUCCCCCCACCCCCUGUGGCAUGCCCUCUGGAACCCCCUCCCUCAACUGGCCAGCUCCUGUCUCUAAUCAGUGGACUUCAUGUGGCCUCAUGGUGACCAGUUGCCCACGCAUGCCAGGUAUUGAAUGUGUUGGUGAGGGUGGUGUAGGUCUUCAGGAGGCCACAGGAAAGCACUUCUGGACCCUCUUGCCUUGUUGAUGGUGCUGUACUCUAUCUUAUGCAGCGUGACUAGAUGACGAACUGUCCCCGGUUUAUCGCUUCAGCCCGGGUUCUGCUUGAAGUGGACGUGAGUGGUAUAGGCGGUCCUCAGUGCUUUCUCCCUUCCUGUUGAUCAUCUACCCCUCAGAUUCAGACAGCUGUUUCCUGCUGUUUCAAGCUUUCUGGUUACUCUGCACUUGUUAGGUGUUAGUAAGGCAAAAGGGUUACUUCUCCAGCACAUACGUACCAAUGCAGACUCUACGAAUUUAGUGUACAACUGUACUAUUUUAGAUGUUUCACACUUUAGCAGAAAUCUAAAUUUUGCCAGUUUUUCCUGGUGCCUUCUCUUUGCCCUGUGCCCUAGGCAGCCUGUUUUCCUGAUAGCCCUUUCAGUGCUGACACUCUUGUGAACUUUCAAACAGAAUUUCCUCCCAACUAAAAUGCACUUGAUACUGAUUAAGUGCAGAGUGCGUGAAGAACAAUAGGCGUGUGGCAGGAAAAUCUUCAUCCUUUGUUUAGAUGAGGUCCUCCCCUGUCAUCAGCAUUUCAUGUUGAAGCUGUCAGCACAACAUUAUAGUACCUCCAGGAUCUGAUGAAGUCGGCACCACCCUGUGUGAGCCUAUGGAGGAAGGUGAAGCAGUAGCUCUACUGAGGCUGGAUGCGAUAGAGAUGUGCACAGAGGCAACUGUGAGUCAUACACACCAAGCGAAUGAAGUAUCCCUGACUGUUGAUAGUGAUCUAGAGAACUAUCAAAACUCUCCGACGACGCUGGAGGUACCAGAGAAAAGACACAUAAAAUUUCCAGUUAUGAGACACCAGGGCAUCCUUAGCAAGGCCUGAGCAGAUUUUUCCUAUGAUCUUACAGAUACCAGAGAGGUGGAAGAAGAUGUGCAAAUGUUUUAUUUGCAAGGAAGGGUGGAUCAACUUUUUAGGACAUUUUACAUGGAUGUGAGAUGAGACACAAAAUUCCCAAAGAAUAUUUACCCCAACAUAGUAGAAUCAACUGAAUAUGUUUCAUAAGAGUUUUAUGUCCAAGGCAAAUAGUCACAUCCAGGAGUGAAAAAACAGUUGUAUGGACCAGAUGUUAACAUAUAGAGGUUCAUGCCUGCUACAGUACAAAACACCAUGACAUUCCCAAUGGAUGGCACCCCAGCCAGGCCUGUGGGUCACAUGAUGGCGAUAACCACACCUCCACGCGAUGCUCACAGAGCCCCAGGAUGUAUAAAUGGAGAG